rnacentral:rRNA from 1 species
AUUGAACGCUGGCGGCAUGCCUUACACAUGCAAGUCGAACGGCAGCACGGGUGCUUGCACCUGGUGGCGAGUGGCGAACGGGUGAGUAAUACAUCGGAACGUACCUUAUCGUGGGGGAUAACGCAGCGAAAGUUGCGCUAAUACCGCAUACGCCCUGAGGGGGAAAGCGGGGGACCGUAAGGCCUCGCGCGAUUAGAGCGGCCGGUGUCUGCUUAGCUUGUUGGUGAGGUAAAAGCUCACCAAGGCGGUGAUCAGUAGCUGGUCUGAGAGGCCGAGCAGCCACACGGGGACUGAGACACGGACGAGACUCCUACGGGAGGCAGGAGUGGGGAAUUUUGGACGAUGGGGGCAACCCUGACCCGGCAAUGCCGCGUGGGUGAAGAAGGCCUUCGGGUUGUAAAGCUCUUUUGUCAGGGAAGAAACAGCAGCUCUAACACAGUCUGCGAAUGACGGUACCUGAAGAAUAAGCACCGGCUAACUACGUGCCAGCAGCCGCAGUAA